AUUGAACGCUGGCGGCAGGCCUAACACAUGCAAGUCGAGCGGGGUUUUCGGACCUAGCGGCGGACGGGUGAGUAAUGCGUAGGAAGCUACCCGAUAGAGGGGGAUACCAGUUGGAAACGACUGUUAAUACCGCAUAAUGUCUACGGACCAAAGUGUGGGACCUUCGGGCCACAUGCUAUCGGAUGCGCCACGUGGGAUUAGCUAGUUGGUGAGGUAAUGGCUCACCAAGGCGACGAUCCCUAGCUGGUUUGAGAGGAUGAUCAGCCACACUGGAACUGAGACACGGUCCAGACUCCUACGGGAGGCAGCAGUGGGGAAUAUUGGACAAUGGGCGCAAGCCUGAUCCAGCCAUGCCGCGUGUGUGAAGAAGGCCUUCGGGUUGUAAAGCACUUUCAGUUGGGAGGAAGGGUUGUGUGUUAAUAGUACACAGCCUUGACGUUACCAACAGAAGAAGCACCGGCUAACUCUGUGCCAGCCGCCGCAGUAAGAC
rnacentral:rRNA from 1 species